rfam:Camelus ferus unplaced genomic scaffold scaffold1887, whole genome shotgun sequence.
GAGGUUGUAGCUCAAGUGGUAGAGCACAUGCUUAGCAUGCAUGGGGUCCUGGGUUUAAUCCCCAGUACCUCCU